CUGCAAAACUAUGCCAUUUGUACAUUUAAAGAGCCACCAUCAUUUUUAAGUUGGAAGAACUAACAAUGGAGUUUAGUGUCAUUUGAUAUUAAAUAGGUUUUUCAAUAAAGCACAUCUUAUUUAUAUAUUUGUUGGAGGGCUUGGCCCGAACACCAGCUAUGAGGAUCUCAGAUAAGACUUUUCUCAAUAUGGUGAGAUUAUCUCUGUAAAGAUACCAGUUGGGGAAGGAUGCGGGUUCGUUCAGUUUGCUUAGCGGUAUAAUUUCUGACCAUGGUUCAAUAGAAAACAUGAUGGAAUCCCCUUCACAAUAUCUCUACAAUUCUUAAUGUUAUUUUCAAUUUUGCACUUUAUUAUUCUUGGCAAAAACCAUGCUAAGGAGGCGUGGCAGAGGUUGAAUGGGACAGUCAUUGGGAAGUAGACGGUUCGUCUUUCAUGGGGUCGUAAUCUAGCCAACAAGCAGGUAAAUGGAUCUUUAGAAGUUCAUCUUAUGACCCACUUGUAUUUUCACUUAUUUUGGUUGGAGGCUGAAUUCCCUAUUCAUUCCAAACAGGGAACUUCCAUGUUUGGAGCUUAGUUUGUAGAUGUGGGGCUCAUGGUUCGUUUGUCCAAGCCAUUGAUCUGACAGCCCCAUCAUGGAUGGACCAUUCCCCCAAAAUCUCCCAAUUGGAAGAUCUUAGCAUUAAAGCUUUGGUCUUUCCUCAAUUGAAUGUGGUUUUUUCGUGUGUUUCUAACUAAUUAUUCGCAAUUUCGCAUGCCAACUGCAGGGAGGUUGAUGAAAGUUGCAUAAAACUUUGAAAGAGAAAGAAAUCAGCUUUAGGUGCAGCUCAAAAUUCCCACUUACAGAAGAAGAGGAAUCUAAGCAAAACGCAGUGACAACAAAUCAAAAAAUGCCACGUACUCUUGUCAUGCUGAGGCUGAUACUGACCAUGGUUGGAAGAAAGCUAUCCCGCAAUCCCACCACUAAAGUGUUUUGGGCCUUGUCUGGUCUUUGAUUUCAUUCAGGUGGGGUAUUGGCAUGCCCAGCUUGGUGAAAUAUUCUAUAACGAUAAUUUCAUAUGCUGGACUUGGAAUGGCCAUGUUUAGCUUAGGUAUGUAUGGUUUUCAUGUUCUCAUGUCGAUAUCUACACCCACUUCUUUUAGGUGUGUGUACCUUAUUUUUAACUUAUAGUUGUAGAAUUAUGCCAUGCGGAUUCUAUGGAUCCAGAGCCACUGAGGUCAAUUUAUCAUUUUAUUGAUACGGUUAUGAUUGGAUUAUAUGAUUCCAGUCCAAUCUCUGCUCUUUUUCUUUUUGCCAUUUUAUGUAUGUGUGAUUGAACUGUAUAAUUCCAAUGCAGUUGUUUGUUCUAUU